UACGUAGGGUGCGAGCGUUGUCCGGAAUUACUGGGCGUAAAGAGCUCGUAGGUGGUUUGUCGCGUUGUCCGUGAAAACUCACAACUCAAUUGUGGGCGUGCGGGCGAUACGGGCAGACUGGAGUACUGCAGGGGAGACUGGAAUUCCUGGUGUAGCGGUGGAAUGCGCAGAUAUCAGGAGGAACACCGGUGGCGAAGGCGGGUCUCUGGGCAGUAACUACGUGGGGAGCGAAAGCGUGGGGAGCGAACGAGG
rnacentral:rRNA from 1 species